rnacentral:rRNA from 1 species
AAGUCGUAACAAGGUUUCCGUAGGUGAACCUGCGGAAGGAUCAUUAUCGAAUAAACUUGAACAGGCUGUUUUUGCUGGCCCUCGAAAGAGGGUAUGUGCACGCUUGUCCAUCUUUGUCAUUUCUCCAAACUGUGCACAUACUGUAGACCUGGAGGGGUAUUAUUAUGAAUGAAUCUCCAUUCUAGUUGGGGGACUGCUGUGCUCUCAAGCCGGCUUUCCCUUGUAUUUUUUCGGGUCUAUGUCAUUUUUUUCACAACCUCUAUAACAAUGUUUAGAAUGUUGAAUCAAGGUCUUUGUACCUAUAUAAAAGUUAAUACAACUUUCAGCAACGGAUCUCUUGGCUCUCGCAUCGAUGAAGAACGCAGCGAAAUGCGAUAAGUAAUGUGAAUUGCAGAAUUCAGUGAAUCAUCGAAUCUUUGAACGCAUCUUGCGCUCCUUGGUAUUCCGAGGAGCAUGCCUGUUUGAGUGUCAUUUGACCUUCUCAACCACAUCAUUUGUGUGUGGCUUGGAUGUGGGGGAAACAAUUGCAGGCUUUCAAUCGAAAAAGCCAGCUCCCCUGAAAUGCAUUAGUGGUGUCUGAGCUGCUAUUGGUGUGAUAAAUUAUCUAUGCCUUUGGUGAUGCUGGUCAGCACUGCUUAUAACGGAUGGCUAAAUCAUUU